rnacentral:rRNA from 1 species
GAUGAACGCUGGCGGCGUGCCUAAUACAUGCAAGUCGAGCGAACAGAUGAGGAGCUUGCUCCUCUGACGUUAGCGGCGGACGGGUGAGUAACACGUGGAUAACCUACCUAUAAGACUGGGAUAACUUCGGGAAACCGGAGCUAAUACCGGAUAAUAUAUUGAACCGCAUGGUUCAAUAGUGAAAGACGGUUUUGCUGUCACUUAUAGAUGGAUCCGCGCCGCAUUAGCUAGUUGGUAAGGUAACGGCUUACCAAGGCAACGAUGCGUAGCCGACCUGAGAGGGUGAUCGGCCACACUGGAACUGGAACACGGCCCAGACUCCUACGGGAGGCAGCAGUAGGGAAUCUUCCGCAAUGGGCGAAAGCCUGACGGAGCAACGCCGCGUGAGUGAUGAAGGUCUUCGGAUCGUAAAACUCUGUUAUUAGGGAAGAACAAAUGUGUAAGUAACUAUGCACGUCUUGACGGUACCUAAUCAGAAAGCCACGGCUAACUACGUG